rnacentral:sRNA from 1 species
GGGGAGCCGCCGCCGCGUCCGCCGGGCGGCUCCCACCCCGCCCCCCGCAGCUCUGGGUGACGCGUCUCCAAUAACAGCUCGCCGGGAGCCGCAGCUCGGGCACAGCCGGCGGCCGCGCCCCGCCGCCACCAUGAGGGCCGAGGGCCUCGGCGGCCUGGAGCGCUUCUGCAGCCCGGGCAAAGGCCGGGGGCUGCGGGCUCUGCAGCCCUUCCAGGUGGGGGACUUGCUGUUCUCCUGCCCGGCCUAUGCCUACGUGCUCACGGUCAACGAGCGGGGCAACCACUGCGAGUACUGCUUCACCAGGAAAGAAGGAUUGUCCAAAUGUGGAAGAUGCAAGCAGGCAUUUUACUGCAAUGUGGAGUGUCAGAAAGAAGAUUGGCCCAUGCACAAGCUGGAAUGUUCUCCCAUGGUUGUUUUUGGGGAAAACUGGAAUCCCUCGGAGACUGUAAGACUAACAGCAAGGAUUCUGGCCAAACAGAAAAUCCACCCAGAGAGAACACCUUCGGAAAAAUUGUUAGCUGUGAAGGAGUUUGAAUCACAUCUGGAUAAGUUAGAUAAUGAGAAGAAGGAUUUGAUUCAGAGUGACAUAGCUGCUCUCCAUCACUUUUACUCCAAGCAUCUCGAAUUCCCUGACAAUGAUAGCCUCAUAGUAGUCUUUGCACAGGUUAACUGUAAUGGCUUCACAAUUGAAGAUGAAGAACUUUCUCAUUUGGGAUCAGCGAUAUUUCCUGAUGUUGCAUUGAUGAAUCAUAGCUGUUGCCCCAAUGUCAUUGUGACCUACAAAGGGACCCUGGCAGAAGUCAGAGCUGUACAGGAAAUCAAGCCAGGAGAGGAGGUUUUUACCAGCUAUAUUGAUCUCCUGUACCCAACGGAAGAUAGAAAUGACCGGUUAAGAGAUUCUUAUUUCUUCACCUGUGAGUGCCAGGAGUGCACCACCAAGGACAAGGAUAAGGCCAAGGUGGAAAUCCGGAAGCUCAGCGAUCCCCCAAAGGCAGAAGCCAUCCGAGACAUGGUCAGAUAUGCACGCAACGUCAUUGAAGAGUUCCGGAGGGCCAAGCACUAUAAAUAUAUCCUUUACAACUGCCCUGAUAGCUUAUUAUCCCUCGCCAACAAGGCAAGGUGGGAAGUUGGAAAGAGGGAGCAGGAGAAGGAUGGAUUUAAGAUUCUGAAAACCAAAGGAGGAAUGUCUCCUAGUAAAUGUGUAAAGGCGUACUGACCACCCACAAUGUGGUGUCCAUCCUGUUGGAGUUGUAUGAUCUUAUUUCCCCUUAUUUUGGCUAGUUUGGCUCGGAGCCUCAUGUGGUGGAGGACCGUGAAGGACAGAGCCUUGAUGGCCUUGUGCUUUGGGUAUUUUACUUUGGGCAGGGCACAGUGCCAAGGGCCUUGCUUAUUUCAGCUCUCCUCACUGGCACACUCUGAGCAGGGACUCUGCUCAUUCCCAUGCAGCAGAUGAGGAAACAGCCUGAUAGAUAUUAAGUAAUUUGCCCAAAGGACACAGCUGAUGGUGAUAGGAUCUAGGAUUUUGUCCCAGCUCUAUCAGAAUCCAUAUUCUUAACCAUUGUAUUGUAGUAUUUUCUUGGGAGUUGAAAAGGGAUUCGAUUUGUACUCUAAAGGGUAGAAUUUAAAACCAGUGAGAGGAAAUGAGAGAAAGGCACAUUGUUUCUCAGCAUAAGAAAGAACUUUGCCACAGUGGGAGUCGUGCUCAGGGUUCCAACUUGGGUGAGGAUUUGAAUUUGAUUAGAAUCGUGAUUUUAAUCAACAUUGUUUACAUCAGAACUAGGGGUCUGGACCCUGCGGCUAAAAUUCUUGAGUUGAGCAGUUCCGAUCUUCAGGUUUUCCUCAUUUGUUUUUUCUGGAGAAAUGUAAUUCCUUUCACUUUUGCUUGGCUUUCUGUAAGUUACUUUUUCAUGGGGUAAGGGUGAGAGUGGAGUGGACGAAAGAACUCCUUGAACCCAGCCUGGGGAAGCCUCCAGGCAGCUUGGGCCCGGUGGCCGUUUCCUUGACUCCACAGCACCCCCUAGUGAGCUGCUGGAGAUCUGCGAGCUCAGCCAGGAGAAGAUGAGCUCUGUGUUUGAGGACAGUAACGUGUACAUGUUGCACAUGAUGUACCAGGCCAUGGGUGUCUGCUUGUACAUGCAGGACUGGGAAGGAGCCCUGCAGUAUGGACAGAAAAUCAUUAAGCCCUACAGGUGAUUGCAGAGGCUGUUCUAAUCAUCCACGGAGUGGAAUUUGGUUGUUUAGAAUGUAUACGAUAGUGUCGUCUUCCUGCCCAUUGCUGAGACUUGCCUAGCGCAGCUGCCUUUUCUCUGCACCCACAUCUGGAGGUGCUGGUGCAGGGCACUGCUCCCGAGUCAGGCCUGUUCUCACCACCAUCCCAAGGAGACAGGUUGAGGUUAUGCAGCGGAUACUGGGGCAAGAUCCCUCCCAGGUCCAUCCAGGGCCAUAUCCAUAGUAGUUAACUCAGGCUAGUUUUGAGAAGCCACUAGUUUGCUUCUUUUCCCACCCACUGCUUCCAAGUUUAAUUACUAAGUGGUGGUCUCAGAAACCCUGCUUUUCAUCAUUACUCACACCAUCCCCUUCUUUUGCUUUUUCAAGUUACAGCCCCAGUUUGCAAAUGGGGAAGCUCUGGGACCAGUGGGUUGACCGUGGUUAUCUAAUCUCCCCACCCCAGGUUUGGAAAAAAGAAAAAAAAGUUGCUUUUUAAUUUGUAGUAAUAAUGAAUAUUAGCCCUGGAGAGAUUUCCUGCCUGAGAGGGUUACUAAACCUAAAAGUGGGUGACAGACGGAAGUUGUGGCUUUGUCCUCUGACUCGGACUAGACGCUUCAGGGCUGAGGUGGCCUAGAUGGGAUCACUGGAGCUCUUUUUAAAGGCACUGAUAUUAUGCAUUUACAGGGUACGUCCAACACCAAGUGGGCCAAGUGAAUCAGGGUCGCUGGGCAUUAGACCCAGAAAUCUGUGUUCUGGAAGCAUCCCAGGUGUUUCUCAGGAGUUUGAGAAGCCCUCAGUCUCCUUCCACUUCCGAGAUUAGGGUCUGUGAAGGUUGUGUCUGGUCUGAAUGUCCACUGCCCACUCCACCCUCUACUUACCCCACUGUGCCCUGAUUAGCCAGCAGGGGGAGCCCAAAGGAAGCCAGCUCUUAAAAUCUGCUCUUGGAAACAGAAUUUGUUAAAUUGGGGAUAAACUCAAACCUUCCUUUUCUCCUGGAGUGUGUGAGGAAGUGCACUGGCCUCAUGCACAGUUCUCUGUGUGAGAUCUGUAGGGAGAGAGGAGCAGACAGACAGCAUCCCAGCCCUGUGGUUCUCCCAGCAGGGCCUUGCUCUGCUAGACCCAUCGUUAUCUGCGUGAGCCACCUCCCGGAAGCCCAGCUCUGGUCUUCCGUGGGGCCGUGGGUCCCAGGGCUGCCUCCUGCCCAGGAAUACAGCUAGAACAUGUCUUUUUGGACUGACUUUCAGGAGACACAGGGUGGAACAGCCUAGCCUUUAAGUAAACACCUCUUACACACAUGUAAACACACACACUGGCUCACCCACCAGCUGCCUCUGGGCCCUGUUCUUAGGGAAAUGGCUGUUUCCCAGGCAGACCCCAUCAGUCAGUCUUCAGGUACAGCCGGAGAGAACACUUGCUGUAUCUAAAGCCCCUGCUGGACAAUGGGGAAAGAACAUCCAGAAGACACAGGAAGUGUUCUGACUUCAGAGCACUUACUGUUUUGCUAAACCAGCCCAUAUCAUAGUGUGACAGAAAGCUGGGGUCUUAAGACACAUUGGGGUGGGUGGGGGUUGGGUGGGUGGCUGUAUGUCUGAGUACCUAAGGUGAUAGGCCUAAUUGCUGCCUUCAUAAAUGGGACAUUUACCUCACAAGCUGUUUUCCCAGGGUCUUCCUCUGGGUAUGUCUGAAAUAUAAAAAUCUGGACUGGGAUUGAAGAUUGUGUUUACAAAUGCUUUUGAAUAGGAUUUCUCCUGCAGUUGUUAUGUAGCUUUUCAGAAACACACAAACUACAAAUAAUGAACAACAUCUGCAAUGAUUCCGCAGGGUGGCAGCAUCCACACUCUCCACCCAAACCCUGGUGGGAUUUGGAGAGGCCACUGGUGGGCAGAGUUUGGCCCUAAGCAUGGCAGCCUCCGGCUUACUGCACCCAGCCUGUGGGGCGGCUCAGUAGCCGCUGACAUGGUGGCCUGUUGUCUCUUCUCUUGUUCUAGUAAGCACUAUCCUUUGUACUCCCUCAACGUGGCCUCCAUGUGGUUGAAGCUAGGGAGACUCUACAUGGGCCUGGAACACAAAGCCGCAGGGGAGAAAGCCCUGAAGAAGGCCAUUGCAAUCAUGGAAAUAGCUCACGGCAAAGAUCAUCCAUAUAUUUCUGAGAUCAAACAGGAAAUUGAAAGCCACUGAAACUAUGCAGCAUUUCAGUUUUCAUUUAAACACUUAGUUCAGAAACCUUAAAGGAUUUGAAUAUUUCAAAUUGCACACGUCACUCCAGCAUCUCUGUAAAAUAAUUGGAAUGAAUAUACUUCUUGCACUUAAACACUGCACAUGCCAUACUUUGAGGUUAGUCUGAAUCUUGAACUUUAAUACCAAAUUAAUUUUGAAUGCUUUUGUUUCCUAAGGUAAUGGCAUGGUUUCAUAUGUUAUACUUUGGACAGAGUUUUAAAAAUGGAAUUAUUUUUUCUUUCAUGCCUCUUGUAAUGUUCUGAACAAACUUGAAUGAUGAAAGAAAAUAAAAGAGAUAUCAGU